rnacentral:rRNA from 1 species
UGCCCGGUGGACAAAACCGGAGGAAGGUGGGGAUGACGUCAAGUCCUCAUGGCCCUUAUGGGUAGGGCUUCACACGUCAUACAAUGGUCGGUACAGAGGGUUGCCAAGCCGCGAGGUGGAGCCAAUCCCUUAAAGCCGAUCGUAGUCCGGAUCGUAGUCUGCAACUCGACUACGUGAAGUCGGAAUCGCUAGUAAUCGCAGAUCAGCAUGCUGCGGUGAAUACGUUCCCGGGUCUU